ensembl:lncRNA
CUGCUCCAGGGCAAUUUCUUCCCAAUUUGCCACGACCAUGAUCUUGCAUGUGCAUUUCCUGUGUGCCUCACUGAGUUGCUUUGUGUUUCCUUCUCUACCUGAUGAGAGACCUGUGGGAAUUUGGGAUUUUGGAGACCUUCUUUUGUCGAAAGCAGCAGGAGGGUUCAGAUCUCAUUUGGGAGAGACUAACAGUUGGAUGGACAGACAGAUUUGUGAUCUGGGAUGAAAAAACCUUUUCCACCUCACACGGACCUAAGUGUUAUUCCAGGAAGCACCUGACAUACUCUGAGGCCAGCUCUGCAGUUUGGGGCCUGCAACAUGUCCAUCACCUGCCCUGCACAAGCUUCUGCAUGGGAAACAAGAGGUUACCCUCCGUGACAACUCAUCCUACAUCCGUACCACCAGAAACAUCUUCCAUGCUGCCACUUCCUCCACGAUGGUUCUUCUUACAUUUAUUGACUGUCACUUUCCAAGGAGCAAACACAUGCUUGCUUCAGCAAUGCUCUGCCUCAGCCCUCACAGCAGAUCUUGCUCAGACUUUCAUGUGCAGGCUCACGGAGGCAGCACAAUCUCUUUUUCUUGUGUGUGGGAGAAUGAGGACACAGUAAACGUGUGCAAAGGUGUAAGGAAUCACAGUUGGCAGCAGUGGGGCAAACCCCAUGUGAAAAAAAAACAGGUGCACAGGCAGUGAGAGUGCUGAAGAACAGAAAGCUGCCAAAACAAUGUGUACUGGAUGAAGCUAUAUAUGUAGCCAAGAGAAUUUUGUGUGCAGAAACAUUGCUAAAUGAUUAUAAUUUAAUAUACAUUUUUAGUACAACCCAGAUAAAAAAUGGGGAUACGUAACAGGGCCCCAUGGUUUUCUGGGGAUAUUUUAACUCCAGUGACACACAGCCCAAAUCUUAAGGCAUGGAUUUAGAUGAGGAUGUGUCUGACCCUUUCCCCAGAACUGAAACAAGUUCUGCUCUUGGAAAACAGGUGGAAUUGAUGCUUUCAGAACCAUGCCUUACCUGUUCUAGCAGAUGCGUUAACGCAUUUCUCUUCUGAACCAGCACUCCUUGCUGAAAUGGGAGGAUUAUUUGGGGUCUACAUCUGCUGUCCUUACUGUACAUCCAUAGUAAUGGAACUGGGGCAAAGCAGAGUCCCAGAGCAGGGCUGCUUGUCUCGUGCAUUACAAAGAUGAUAUAUUCCCAAGCCCCAAGGGCCCCUUUCACAGCAUUUCAUUUCAAUAUUUCACCCAUGGAUGCUUCUGGAUGUGACUUCCCUCCCCCACCUUGUCCUUUCUUGGAUGCUGGGUGAGGAACUGAGCCUUUGACUGCAAUGGGCGUUCCACCUGGGGCUGUGCUGAUGGAUUUGCAUCAGCAGCACCUGGUUAAAAAUGCUUGCCUUGCUGUCCCCAGGUGCCUCUGGACACACUUAUUCGCCACCACUGCUGUGCACAGUGCCUGUCAGAGCAUAGAUUCAGCUCCUGGAGGCCACCAAAGUGGUGCACAACACCAUGCAGUCUUUACCUGUGGCUGUCACUGCCCUUCCCUACUGGCUGCGAUGUCACGCGAUGGCUGGCAGAGGGGGCAGGGACAGGGCAGGGGCAUCUGUGUAAAUUCAGCAAGGAGCUGACAGUGCUUUCAUGCAGUUUGUCUCUAACCUGGCAAGUCCCACGGAUGCCCACUGUCUGCUUUUUCUCAGAGCUGCUGCCCUCAUUUCCAAAUGGAAUGGAUGACAUAUUUAGGUCUGCUCUCCAGAAAGAUGCUUUAAAACCCCUCCAGCUGACUGCAGCCCCAGUCUGUGUGCGUGCGGGCACAAGGAAAGGAACCAUAGCUCUCAGGUACGUGCUGGUCUCAGCUUCAGAACAGGUCCGUGCAGAGCAGCAUCCUGACUCCCUCACUGUUGUGCCGAGAGCAGUGGGGAGAGUGAUGCGAGAUGCUCUUGCUCAGGCCUCACAGUCUGAAGAGCCAGGCUGGAGAUGGCCUAUGGCUGCAGCUGGAGCAUGUAGAGCUCUUACUGUUGACGGAUGUGAAUGCAGACCUUCCAAACCAGCACUGACUCCCGCUCUCUCCAUGAGCCACAGGGUUGUAUCCAUGUCACGAGGUUUCUUCCACUUCAGGAAAUCCCCCCCAGCCCAUGCCAUUAUUUAAGAGCAGUGAGGCAGUGGCACAGGCUGCCCAGGGAGGUGGUGCAGUCACCGUCCCUGGAGGUGCUGAAGAGCCGUGUGGAUGUGGCACUGAGGGACGUGGGCAGUGG